CCCGGGUGUGUGUGGAAAUCGAUCUCCUUUGGCCUUCCCUCAUCGGGUAUGAGUGGAUAUGGCUGGGGAAUCAUUGGGUUUUUGGUAGCAGAUUGUCCCAAAAAAUCUGCCAAAGUACUACACGUGUUGCUAGCACUUGAGCCAUUUCCCAAGAGGAGUGUCGUUUGGAUGGAGAUGGCCAUCGUCCAGGGAAAGAGAGGGGGAUAGACUAGGCUGGGUCUGAAGGGGUGAAGGAGAAUGGCGGAAUAAGGGGUAUUUCGG
rnacentral:lncRNA from 1 species